rnacentral:lncRNA from 1 species
AUUCGGGGCUUGCGGGAGCACCUGGGAGGCUCCACCCGGAGCCAGACACUGCCUGCCCCCACGCCCCUCCAGGACCCUCGAAGGAGAAGGAAAUCGGGACUGGCCCAGCGUCCCGUGCUCUAGAAGGCGGGCUACUGCCCCGUCCCAAGCAGGGGAGGAGGACGAGCGAGGGCGUCACUCAUUCUGUCCCCCGCGGAAGGAUGAGGAAGCUCUGUUUACCUAAAUGAAAAGCUUUCUAGGAGGAAGUCCUAAGUGAACAAUGAUGCAUGAGGAUGCAAUCUUACAGGCAAGGAGCCCAGUGAUAACAAAUGGCUGUAGAUGCUUUUCCUCCAUCAAGCUUCCAGGAGGAGAUGAGAUGGAGCCCAUCGCUGAGCCAAGGUCACCAGCCCCAUUUCACAAAUGUAAAUAGCAGGUGUCCCCCACACAGUCUGAACACUUGGAGGCCAAGAUUCAUUUCUCUCAGGGCCCACCAUCCUCAAGCAUGGGAUUGAUUUAGUGCCUCUUGCUGGGAAGCAAAGUUCUGGGAGCCAUAGUGGGAUCCUCCCUCCCUCCCUGCAGGAGACUGGGGCCCUUCCAAGCAGCAACUGAGACCAGUCAACAACCUCUGCCUUAGGCCAGGCGCGGUGGCUCACGCCUGUAAUCCCAACACUUUGGGAGGCUGAGGCGGGCAGAUCAUCUGAGGUCAGGAGUUCAAAACCAUCCUGGCCAACAUGGUGAAACCCCGUCUCUACUAAAAAUACAAAAAUUAGCUGGGCGUGGUGGUGCGUGCCUGUUGUCCUAGCUACUCCGGAGGCCAAGGCAGGAGAAUUCCUUGAACCUGGGAGACAGAGGUUGCAGGUCUGAGAUUGCACCACAGCAUCCAGCCUGGGCGACAGAGUGAGACCCUGUCUCAAAAAGAAACAAAUUAAAAAACAAAAAACAAAAAACAACCUCUGCCUGCCCUUGGGGCCUAGCAUGAGCCCCUGCACACAGGAGGCUUCUAUAAAAAUAGCUCAUUUCGGGUAAUCUAGGGCAGAACCCAGGCUUUUACCACUUGUGGUUUCUCUUUCUAAAUGUGUAGUUAAAAGCUGUAGGCCAGACCUGGUGCAUGGUGGCUCAUGCCUGGAAUCCCAACACUUUGGGAGGCUGAGGUGGGAGAAUCACUUGAGGUCAGGAAUUUGAGAUCAGCUUGGCCAAUAUAGCAAGACCCUGACUCUUUAAAAAAAAAAUUUUUUUUUUAAUUAGCCAGGCAAGGUGGUUGUGCCUAUAGUUCCAGCUACUCAGGAGGCUGAGGCAGGAGGCUCACUUGAGCCCAGGAGUGCGAGGCUGCAGUGAGCUGUGACUGCACUGCUACACUCCAGCCUGGACAAACUGAGCAAGACCCCAUCUUAAAAAAAAAAAAAAAAAAAAAAAAAAAAAAAGACUGGUUGCAGUGGCUCAUGCCUGUAAUCCCAGCACUUUGGGAGGCCGAGGUGGGCGGAUCACCUGAGGUCGGGAGUUCGAGACCAGCCUGACCAACAUGGAGAAACUCCAUCUCUACUAAAAAUACAGAAUUAGCUGGGUGUGGUGGCACAUGCCUGUAAUCCCAGCAACUCAGGAGGCUGAGGCAGGAGAAUCACUUGAACCCAGGAGGCGGAGGUUGCUGUGAGCUGAGAUCGCGCCAUUGCACCCCAGCCUGGGCAACAAGAGCAAAACUCCGUCUCAAAAAAAAAAAAAAGAAGAAGAAGAAGAAACCCAAACACACACACAAACAAAAUAACAGGUGCAGGCCAGUUAAACAAAAACAACUCAAGAACUGUGCCCUGCAGGGGCGCAUUCAUGUGCGGGUGCCCCCUAGAGGACUCUGAGGGUAGAAUGCAUUCAUCCUGAAUGGAUGCAAGAGGAUCAUUUUUCUUCAUCCAAAGUGAAUUCCCUACCGUAUGCUAUGCCCAGGGGACAUGGCCAGUGAACAAGACAUGCAAACAUUAUUGCUGCUGCUCUGUUCACACAUGCAAGAGAGAGACAAUGAGUCAGCAAACACACACAUAAGUUGUUUUUGUAUAGCAAAAUGUACCAGAACAUAAGAUAUAGGGGACUGGUGGCUGGGCGUGGUGGCUCAUGCCUGUCAUCCCAGCACUGUGGGAGGCCGAGGCAGGUGGAUCACCUGAGGUCAGGAGUUGAGACCAGCCUGGGCAACAUGGGGAAACCCCAUCUCUACUAAAAAAUACAAGUCCCAGCUACUCAGGAGGCUGAGGCAGGGGAAUUGCUUGAACCUGGGAGGCGGAGGUUGCAGUGAGCCAAGAUCGCCCCACUGCAAUCCAGCCUGGGUGACAGGUAGAGACUCCAUCUCAAAAUGAUGAUGAUAAGAAGAAGAAGAAGAAGAAGAAGAAGGCUGGGCACGGUGGCUCACGCCUGUAAUCCCAUCACUUUGGGAGGCUGAGGCAGGCAGAUCACGAGGUCAGGAGUUCGAGACCAGUCUGACCAACAUGGUGAAGCCCCAUCUCUACUAAAACUACAAAAAUUAGUCGGGCAUGGUGGUGUACGCCUGUAAUCCCAGCUACUCAGGAGGCUGAGGCAGGAGAAUUGCUUGACCCUGGGAGGCAGAGGUUGCAGUGAGCCGAGAUCGUGCCACUGCACUCCAGCCUGGGUGACAGAGCAAGACUCCAUCUCAGAUAAUAAUAAUAAUAAUAAUGGCUCAAGCUAAUAAAAGAAGGCCUGUCAAUGCACCUA